CGGGGGGAGCAAGCGUUGUUCGGAUUCAUUGGGCGUAAAGAGCUCGUAGGUGGCUUUGUAAGUCGGAGGUGAAAUCCCACGGCUCAACCGUGGACACGCCUCCGAAACUGUGAAGCUUGAGGCUGGGAGAGGAAAUCGGAAUUCCUGGUGUAGCGGUGAAAUGCGUAGAUAUCAGGAGGAACACCGGUGGCGAAGGCGGAUUUCUGGACCAGUUCUGACACUGAGGAGCGAAAGCUAGGGGAGCAAACAGGAUUAGAUACCCUGGUAGUCCUAGCUGUAAACGAUGGGCACUAGGUGUGGGAGGAUCGACCCUUCCGUGCCGCAGUUAACGCAUUAAGUGCCCCGCCUGGGGAGUACGACCGCAAGGUUG
rnacentral:rRNA from 1 species